UCUAGCUUACUUUCUUUCUGUAAGAGGGAGGGUGCACAUUUGGCCUUUGGUGACCUCCCCAGAUGCUUUGUCCAGACCUGGGGGUGAGGUCUCUGUGACAUCACAGAGAGAGACCUCAUGCAGCCCCUCUAGCUUCACAGGAAUCCCUUAAAACACAACAUGAAACAGCCAAGGGCAGAGAGCCAAGAUGUGGCUAAUCCAACCCUGCAUCAGCAGGGACCCUGGGAGCCACCAACGCAAAGACUAAGGGAGAUGUCUCCACAGUGGGGCCACCAGGGGACCUGGGGAUGGGGAGCGUGGCACAUCCUGCAUGGAGACUCCGUGCCUGGCAGAUGGAAAAUGCUGGAGAGUGGGAAGCAGAGCCCUUGGAAGGAGGAACUUUCCCUGAGGACAGCCAGCAGCCAGUGAUGGAGCUGUUCCUGCCUGACAGUGCCCACUUCCAACCCGAGAUACCAGACUGCUGCAUUGCACACCCUGGGGUCAGCUGUGUCACCAGCAUAGGGGACAACCACCCCGACACUGUCCAGGAAAUCCUUCUCAUUCCCAGAACAGCCUUGGAAGUGGGAAAAGGAAGAAGGAAGCAGUCUGGUCCCAAAAGGGUAGGUUGGUCCUGCAGGUAUAAGGGACAUCCUAAUAAAGCACAUCUCCUCUCGAUUCCAAGCAGCCCCAAGAUGAGACAGCCAAUUUGGGGCCAAAAUAACCCCACAACCAGCAAAAAAUAAAAGGGAAAGAAAAAAAGGGCAGGGCUUCUUUUCCCUGACCCCUGCUGCACGAAGAGGCUGCGAGGCUGCUGGCUGCACAGCUCCUCUUGGCAGCAACGUAGAUUUUGAUCAGCUUGAAGCAAUCGUGCAAUCGCAGCCUGAACUUCCAGUGACUCAUCCAGAGAAGGGAAACUUCCUGGCUUGUGUGUUCUUAGCAAUUCUGGAAAAACUGCUAUAUUUGGCAUGGAAAAUAGGAAGGAUUCCUCUGGCCACUCGAAAUGGGAGCAGCAGAAAUGACUCAAUGGACGGCUUGAGAGAGAUGUACAAGGAUGCUCUCUAAAUUAUUCAUUGUGAUACUCCACAUCGUGCGCUUUGCCCACAACAGUGUCUGCACACCGGAUGAUCCGGGCUCCGCCAGCAAGAUGUGAUUUAUUGCUGCGAGAGCCGUCCCAUGAAUGCAUUUUUCGCUGUAUGUUAUUGACUACGGACACGACGGGCUGCUUCCCAUCUGUUUACCAACAAAUACGGCUCCUAAAGAUUCGAUAUCAACAAAGAUGUCCAACAUGGGGAGAUGCUUCACACCGCAGCUCCACGUCGAGCUCUGGCCAGGAACACCUCCUCCUGCCGCUGGCCAGGCCCCGCCGUGCCCAUGGACAAAAAGGCAUUUGUCUGCUUGUCUUUUAUUGCAGAUUUUCAAGCUGUUCCCCAUGCAAGGAGGCCAUUUGGCUGUGAUAGGAGAGCUGUCACUUGCUCACUUGGAGGUCGCUGCUUUCUUGUAGCCCGACACUCUUGUAGAGAAAAAACUGAGCGCUCGA